CAAAGAAUAGUUUAAAAAAAAAUAAUAAUUUUGGAGAUUAUUGAUAGAGAAAAAUUCUUUUUCUUUGA
rnacentral:tRNA from 1 species